rnacentral:rRNA from 1 species
ACGACUCUCGGCAACGGAUAUCUCGGCUCUCGCAUCGAUGAAGAACGUAGCGAAAUGCGAUACUUGGUGUGAAUUGCAGAAUCCCGUGAACCAUCGAGUCUUUGAACGCAAGUUGCGCCCGAAGCCGUCAGGCUGAGGGCACGCCUGCCUGGGCGUCACACG